UUGAACGAAAUGUGCCACUUGUGUUUGCGU
rnacentral:piRNA from 1 species